CCCUUAGAUGUUCUGGGCCGCACACGCGCUACACUGAAGGAGGCAGCGUGUACUCCUGGAUCGAAAGAUUUGGGUAACCCGCGAAUCUCCUUCGUGCUAGGGAUUGAGGUUUGCAAUUAUCCUUCAUGAACGAGGAAUUCCCAGUAAGUGCAAGUCAUAAGCUUGCGCUGACUACGUCCCUGCCCUUUGUACACACCGCCCGUCGCUACUACCGAUUGGGUGAUCCGGUGAAUGGUUCGGACUCUGGCUAUGCUAGCUACUAGCUACGUCAGGGAAAGUUCUGUGAACCUUAUCACUUGGAGGAAGGAGAAGUCGUAACA
rnacentral:rRNA from 1 species